UACGGAGGAUGCGAGCGUUAUCCGGAUUUAUUGGGUUUAAAGGGUGCGUAGGCGGUCCGUUAAGUCAGCGGUAAAAUUGCGGGGCUCAACCCCGUCGAGCCGUUGAAACUGGGUGUCUUGAGUGGGCGAGAAGUACGCGGAAUGCGUGGUGUAGCGGUGAAAUGCAUAGAUAUCACGCAGAACUCCGAUUGCGAAGGCAGCGUACCGGCGCCCAACUGACGCUGAAGCACGAAGGCGUGGGUAUCGAACAGG
rnacentral:rRNA from 1 species